UACGUAGGGUGCAAGCGUUGUCCGGAAUUAUUGGGCGUAAAGAGCUCGUAGGCGGUUUGUCGCGUCUGCUGUGAAAACUCGGGGCUUAACUCCGGGCCUGCAGUGGGUACGGGCAGACUAGAGUGCGGUAGGGGAGACUGGAAUUCCUGGUGUAGCGGUGAAAUGCGUAGAUAUCUAGAGGAACACCGGUGGCGAAGGCGGCAUCCUGGACCAACACUGACGCUGAGUGAGCGAAAGCCAGGGGAGCAAACGGG
rnacentral:rRNA from 1 species